AAUGAGUUGAUGGGUCAAAUGAG
rnacentral:siRNA from 1 species